GAAAGAACGGAAAUAACCUCUGAAAGACAGAAACAUACGGCAGAAAGUUAGGUGACAGGUCAAGAACAAGCACGGAAAGAACGGAAAGAACGGAAAGAACCUCCAGAGAGACAGAAACAUACGGCAAAAUAUUAGAUGACAGGUCAAGAACAACAACGGAAAUAACAGAAAAAUCCGAAAAAAGGGAAAUAAUAACGGAAAUAACAGAAAAGAAUAACGGAAAUAAUAACAAAAAUAACGGAAAAAACGGAAAAAACGGAAAUAACGGAAAGAACCUGCAGAGAGACAGAAACAUACGGCAGAAAAUUAGGUGACAG
rnacentral:lncRNA from 1 species